UUGGAGGGCAAGUCUGGUGCCAGCAGCCGCGGUAAUUCCAGCUCCAAUAGCGUAUAUUAAAGUUGUUGCAGUUAAAAAGCUCGUAGUUGAAUUUCGGGGUUAGUAGGUUGGUCAUGCCUCUGGUAUGUACUGGUCUCACUGAUUCCUCCUUCCUGAUGAACCUUAAUGCCAUUAAUUUGGUGUUUUGGGGAAUUUGGACUGUUACUUUGAAAAAAUUAGAGUGUUUAAAGCAAGCUAACGCUUGAAUACAUUAGCAUGGAAUAAUGAAAUAGGACGUUCGAUCCUAUUUUGUUGGUUUCUAGGAUUGACGUAAUGAUUAAUAGGGAUAGUUGGGGGCAUUAGUAUUCAAUUGUCAGAGGUGAAAUUCUUGGAUUUAUUGAAGACUAACUACUGCGAAAGCAUUUGCCAAGGAUGUUUUCAUUAAUCAAGAACGAAAGUUAGGGGAUCGAAGACGAUCAGAUACCGUCGUAGUCUUAACCAUAAACUAUGCCGACUAGGGAUCGGACGAUGUUAAUUUUUUAAUGACUCGUUCGGCGCCUUACGGGAAAC
rnacentral:rRNA from 1 species